UUUGCUUGGUAAAUUUUCCUCCAUUUCUUUAUUUUGAGCCUACGUGUGUCUUUGCAUGUGAGGUGGAUCUCUUGAAGACAACAUACCAACAGGCCUUGGCUCUUUAUCCAGCUUGCCAUUCUGUGUCUUUUGAUUGGGGCAUUUAGC